rnacentral:snRNA from 1 species
AUCGCUUCUCGGCCUUUAUGGCUAAGAUCAAGUGUAGUAUCUGUUCUUAUCAGUUUAAUCAUAUAUAUGUGUGUGUGUGUGUAGUUGACAUAUUGCUGCAAAUACAUACUGUGC